CCUACGGGCGGCAGCAGUGGGGAAUAUUGGACAAUGGGCGAAAGCCUGAUCCAGCCAUGCCGCGUGUGUGAAGAAGGCCUUCGGGUUGUAAAGCACUUUCAGUGGGGAAGAAAGCCUUGGGGCUAAUACCCUCGAGGAAGGACAUCACCCACAGAAGAAGCACCGGCUAACUCCGUGCCAGCAGCCGCGGUAAUACGGAGGGUGCGAGCGUUAAUCGGAAUUACUGGGCGUAAAGCGCGCGUAGGCGGUCUGAUAAGCCGGUUGUGAAAGCCCCGGGCUCAACCUGGGAACGGCAUCCGGAACUGUCAGGAUAGAGUGCAGGAGAGGAAGGUAGAAUUCCCGGUGUAGCGGUGAAAUGCGUAGAGAUCGGGAGGAAUACCAGUGGCGAAGGCGGCCUUCUGGACUGACACUGACGCUGAGGUGCGAAAGCGUGGGUAGCAAACAGGAUUAGAUACCCCUGUAGUC
rnacentral:rRNA from 1 species